UAUCUGGUUGAUCCUGCCAGUAGUCAUAUGCUUGUCUCAAAGAUUAAGCCAUGCAUGUCUAAGUAUAAGCACUUGUACUGUGAAACUGCGAAUGGCUCAUUAAAUCAGUUAUCGUUUAUUUGAUCGUACCUUUACUACUUGGAUAACCGUGGUAAUUCUAGAGCUAAUACAUGCGAAAAGUCCCGACUUCUGGAAGGGAUGUAUUUAUUAGAUUCAAAACCAAUGCGGGUUCUGCC
rnacentral:ncRNA from 1 species